UUCCAUAUAAACUGAUACAGAAAAGGCAAAAAUUGUUGUAUAAAAAAUUCACUAGAAUGCAGUUACUUAAGUGUUUUUCUGGCAAAGGACCCCAAACCCCCCUAUUUCAUAUGUAUGUCCCCCAGUGUUGAAAUAAAAUCUACGCCCUUGGAGCACAGGUUAGGCUACAGUCUAAUAUAUCUGGUUAAGUAAAUAUGUGUCUGCCUUUCUGUUCUUUUUCUUAUCGGUCUCAUUGUUAUUGACUGUUGUUUGUGUUAGUCUGUGUCCACUGGUGUUCUUUUAUUACAGCACUUAUAGAAAGAGACAGAGUGAAAUGGAGGGAGGGAGAAGAAGGGCAGAGAGCACAGGAGAUGGAUGGAGAGGGAGGGAGGGAGGGAGAAGGAAGCAGGGAGGGAGAUAGGGGCCGGGUGACGGGCAAAGAGAGGAUGGAGAGGGGGGCGAAGAAGGGGAGAUGGAGUGGCUGAGAAAUGAAAGACACAGAUGGGAGGGGUCGUGGAGGAGGAAGUCUCUGUGGUCCCGGUGACAGCUGAAGUAGUGCAGACAGCUCUGUGGUCCUUCGUACCUCACCAUCAUGGCGGCCUGCAGAGGACGUAUGGCGUCGCGAUUGUUGAACAUCUGAACUGAUUGGCUGGUGAACUGGAGUGAACAUAAAGCUGACGCUUUGCGUCCGGGCAGACUGCAGGCGGCUGUUUGAAAUGGCGGAGGACAGAGGAGGAGAAGUGGAGAGCAGCAGAGUGGCUGCUGGGAAAACACAGAGCGGAGCUGCAGUGCAAAGUGGAACUGGACUGACUUCCUCUCAUGCACUGAGCAGUGUGUUACAACAAACUCUGAUCUGUGUGUCCUUUCCCCAUUACUGUCAUCUUGUCAUACAAAUGGUUCAAAGCUACUCAAAUUGACAGUUUUUAAUGUUUGUAUGACACAUUUUGUAGUUCAUUUAAAAAAAUAUGAAAUGAAAUAUACGUCCUGAAUUUGUCAAAUGGUGUGAUUCUGUCUUUAUGCAGCUUAGAUAUACGUACUUAAAUUACAAAUGGCAUGGCCACAUUAAAUUAUUAAUGAAGCUGCUGUGAUCACAGUGGCCACUAGAUGCAACUGUACUGUGUGAGCAUGUCAAAUCAAAGAGUCAAUUAUUGUCUCCUUUCAUACUCCUCACUGUGCAUCGCAGGCUUACUGUCUGAACUCUCAUGUUUGAGACCUCAUCUGUGAGGAUGAAAAAUGAUUUUACAGGUUUGAUGCAGGAAACAUUAUUUACUUACACUUUUGUCCCACGUUUAUAACAGGCUGCAGUCUGUCUAUCA